rnacentral:rRNA from 1 species
AUACGGAGGGUGCGAGCGUUAAUCGGAAUUACUGGGCGUAAAGGGUGCGUAGGCGGCUUGAUAAGUCGGAUGUGAAAGCCCCGGGCUUAACCUGGGAAUUGCAUUCGAUACUGUCAGGCUAGAGUAUGUCAGAGGUUGGCGGAAUUCCUGGUGUAGCGGUGAAAUGCGUAGAUAUCAGGAGGAACGCCAGUGGCGAAGGCGGCUAACUGGGGCAAUACUGACGCUGAGGCACGAAAGCGUGGGGAGCAAACAGGAUUAGAUACCCUAGUAGUCC